rnacentral:tRNA from 1 species
GACCAUCGGUGAUUCAGUGGUAGAAUGCUCGCCUGCCACGCGGGCGGCAUGGGUUCGAUUCCCGGCCAAUUCA